UGCGACCCGGGCCUGGUGCACAUCGCCAUGACGCUCGACGCGCACUACCUCAGGGGCUCCAUGGCGGCCAUCUACUCGCUGCUCAAGCACGCCUCCUGCCCGGAGUCGCUCUUCUUCCACUUCCUCGCCGCGGAGGGCGGCGGCGCGCCGGCCGUCGCCGACCUCCGGGCCGCCGUGUCCGCCUCCUUCCCGUCCCUGCGCUUCGAGAUCUACCCGUUCCGCGCCGACGCGGUCGCCGGGCUCAUCUCCGCGUCCGUGCGCGCCGCGCUCGAGGCGCCGCUCAACU
rnacentral:lncRNA from 1 species